rnacentral:rRNA from 1 species
ACGUAGGGCGCAAGCGUUGUUCGGAAUUACUGGGCGUAAAGGGAGCGUAGGCGGUUUUAUAAGUCAGAUGUGAAAGCCCACGGCUUAACUGUGGAAAUGCAUUUGAAACUGUGAGACUUGAGUACCAGAGGGGAAAGUGGAAUUCCCGGUGUAGAGGUGAAAUUCGUAGAUAUCGGGAGGAAUACCGGUGGCGAAGGCGACUUUCUGGAGGGAUACUGAGGCUGAGGCGCGAAAGCGUGGGGAGCAAACAG